rnacentral:rRNA from 1 species
AUUGAACGCUGGCGGCAUGCUUUACACAUGCAAGUCGAACGGUAACAGGCCGCAAGGUGCUGACGAGUGGCGAACGGGUGAGUAAUGCAUCGGAACGUGCCCAGUCGUGGGGGAUAACGCAGCGAAAGCUGUGCUAAUACCGCAUACGAUCUGUGGAUGAAAGCGGGGGACCUUCGGGCCUCGCGCGAUUGGAGCGGCCGAUGUCAGAUUAGGUAGUUGGUGGGGUAAAGGCUCACCAAGCCGACGAUCUGUAGCUGGUCUGAGAGGACGACCAGCCACACUGGGACUGAGACACGGCCCAGACUCCUACGGGAGGCAGCAGUGGGGAAUUUUGGACAAUGGGCGCAAGCCUGAUCCAGCAAUGCCGCGUGCAGGAAGAAGGCCUUCGGGUUGUAAACUGCUUUUGUACGGAGCGAAAAGGCUCCCUCUAAUACAGGGGGCUCAUGACGGUACCGUAAGAAUAAGCACCGGCUAACUACGUGCCAGCCGCCGCCGUAACAC